GACCUGUGAGGUCACACACAUUAGAGUUCAUGAUCCGAUCGGAUGGUUGAUCAAUGAUUAAGAAUCGUUCUAGGGUUAAAUGAUCAAUACGAUUGACAUUUAACCUAGUGCAAGUGUUGCAGGAGGAUCGAUUAGCAAUUCGAUUGCUAAUUGACUUAAUUUGAUUAAGCCAAUGGACUGAGAUUAAGUCUAAUUGAAUAUAAU
rnacentral:lncRNA from 1 species